GAUGAACGCUGGCGGCGUGCCUAAUACAUGCAAGUCGAGCGAACAGACGAGGAGCUUGCUCCUCUGACGUUAGCGGCGGACGGUUGAGUAACACGUGGAUAACCUACCUAUAAGGCUGGGAUAACUUCGGGAAACCGGAGCUAAUACCGGAUAAUAUAUUGAACCGCAUGGUUCAAUAGUGAAAGACGGUUUUGCUGUCACUUAUAGAUGGAUCCGCGCCGCAUUAGCUAGUUGGUAAGGUAACGGCUUACCAAGGCAACGAUGCGUAGCCGACCUGAGAGGGUGAUCGGCCACACUGGAACUGAGACACGGUCCAGACUCCUACGGGAGGCAGCAGUAGGGAAUCUUCCGCAAAGGGCGAAAGCUUGACGGAGCAACGCCGCGUGAGUGAUGAAGGUCUUCGGAUCGUAAAACUCUGUUAUUAGGGAAGAACAAAUGUGUAAGUAACUAUGCACGUCUUGACGGUACCUAAUCAGAAAGCCACGGCUAACUACGUG
rnacentral:rRNA from 1 species